CUUCUUUGCUUUGUAACAAAAACUGCAGCACAAAUCCCUUUUACUCUCAGAAAAAAAAGCAGGACGGGAUAUUUUUUAGCAAAAAAUCUGCACGAUAAAGAAUUUUUUAUCAAUAAAUCUGCAUGACAAAGGUGUAUUUAUAGGAACUAAUCUCUUAUUGGAUGAAUACUUGCUUUUUCUCUAUCAACACGCUAACUGCAUCAUCAGAGUGUUUAGAUUUGUUUAUUUUAUGUAAGGUAUUCAAUAUUUUUGAAAGUUUUUCUAGACAAUGAGUAAUGUAGUAUACUUUGGUAAUUCUAACAAGAGGGAGGGUAAGAGGGGUUCUGAUCCCGAAAUCCCGGGCUUAAAAAACACGAAAUUCAGAGGUCCCGAAAUUCGAUAAAAGAAUUCCCGGAUCCCGAAAGGGUCAAUCCCGAAAUCCCGAGCUUAAAAACACCUGAUCCCGGAGUCCCGGUAAAGGUCCUAUCCCCCCUCUAACAAGUAAUGAGCUUGUUCUUUUCACAAUAUGUAUAUAUAGUCAUAUUAUAUCUUUUUGAAUUUGGAUUAUUAUUAUACACGAUCUUUGUGAUAUCUUAAAAUAUCUAGUCUCUGACUUUCUUAACUGUCUUAAAUAAAUGAGAG
rnacentral:lncRNA from 1 species